AGAGUUUGAUCAUGGCUCAGAUUGAACGCUGGCGGCAGGCCUAACACAUGCAAGUCGAACGGUAACAGGAAGCAGCUUGCUGCUUCGCUGACGAGUGGCGGACGGGUGAGUAAUGUCUGGGAAACUGCCUGAUGGAGGGGGAUAACUACUGGAAACGGUGGCUAAUACCGCAUAACGUCGCAAGACCAAAGAGGGGGACCUUCGGGCCUCUUGCCAUCAGAUGUGCCCAGAUGGGAUUAGCUUGUUGGUGAGGUAACGGCUCACCAAGGCGACGAUCCCUAGCUGGUCUGAGAGGAUGACCAGCCACACUGGAACUGAGACACGGUCCAGACUCCUACGGGAGGCAGCAGUGGGGAAUAUUGCACAAUGGGCGCAAGCCUGAUGCAGCCAUGCCGCGUGUAUGAAGAAGGCCUUCGGGUUGUAAAGUACUUUCAGCGGGGAGGAAGGUGUUGUGGUUAAUAACCGCAGCAAUUGACGUUACCCGCAGAAGAAGCACCGGCUAACUCCGUGCCAGCAGCCGCGGUAAUACGGAGGGUGCAAGCGUUAAUCGGAAUUACUGGGCGUAAAGCGCACGCAGGCGGUCUGUCAAGUCGGAUGUGAAAUCCCCGGGCUCAACCUGGGAACUGCAUUCGAAACUGGCAGGCUUGAGUCUUGUAGAGGGGGGUAGAAUUCCAGGUGUAGCGGUGAAAUGCGUAGAGAUCUGGAGGAAUACCGGUGGCGAAGGCGGCCCCCUGGACAAAGACUGACGCUCAGGUGCGAAAGCGUGGGGAGCAAACAGGAUUAGAUACCCUGGUAGUCCACGCCGUAAACGAUGUCUACUUGGAGGUUGUGCCCUUGAGGCGUGGCUUCCGGAGCUAACGCGUUAAGUAGACCGCCUGGGGAGUACGGCCGCAAGGUUAAAACUCAAAUGAAUUGACGGGGGCCCGCACAAGCGGUGGAGCAUGUGGUUUAAUUCGAUGCAACGCGAAGAACCUUACCUGGUCUUGACAUCCACGGAAGUUUUCAGAGAUGAGAAUGUGCCUUCGGGAACCGUGAGACAGGUGCUGCAUGGCUGUCGUCAGCUCGUGUUGUGAAAUGUUGGGUUAAGUCCCGCAACGAGCGCAACCCUUAUCCUUUGUUACCAGCGGUCCGGCCGGGAACUCAAAGGAGACUGCCAGUGAUAAACUGGAGGAAGGUGGGGAUGACGUCAAGUCAUCAUGGCCCUUACGACCAGGGCUACACACGUGCUACAAUGGCGCAUACAAAGAGAAGCGACCUCGCGAGAGCAAGCGGACCUCAUAAAGUGCGUCGUAGUCCGGAUUGGAGUCUGCAACUCGACUCCAUGAAGUCGGAAUCGCUAGUAAUCGUGGAUCAGAAUGCCACGGUGAAUACGUUCCCGGGCCUUGUACACACCGCCCGUCACACCAUGGGAGUGGGUUGCAAAAGAAGUAGGUAGCUUAACCUUCGGGAGGGCGCUUACCACUUUGUGAUUCAUGACUGGGGUGAAGUCGUAACAAGGUAACCGUAGGGGAACCUGCGGUUGGAUCACCU
rnacentral:rRNA from 1 species